rnacentral:lncRNA from 1 species
CCAGCCCAACCCUCAUCUGUUUGUGCAGCCCCAAGCCACAGGUCUUUUUUACGAUACUGCAUUGCAUCUUCUUCCAGAAGGAGAGAAAACCGGGACAAUUCAUAUUGCCUACAGAGAGUUUGUGACAUUACAGCUUGAAACAGAAUCUCCAACCUUCAACCAACUUGAGCUAGAAGUACCCCUAAAUUGCUGGAUGUGUCACAGUAUUUUGUUUCAUGGCCACCGUAAGAAACCUACUGUAUAUUUUAUCAAUACAUGAUUUUUAUUUAAGGACUUGGUUCAUUCAGGUACACAUUUAUUACCCCCUAUGAAUUCUGAAAGACACAGUAUUACAUGUUGCAGAUUGGAAAAUACAGUUCGACUUGAGGGUUCAGAGCUAUGGAGGUAAAAUGUAGCAUAAUCAGUAUAGAAAUCAGGCAGCAUCACACACUUGUCAACUACC